GUCGCACAGGGAGAUGGCAUGCCUCCCGUUCCCUCGUGGAACGAACCGCCCCACGCCUUGACCGAUCGACGGGGUUGAUGAUGCCUGCAUCACC
rnacentral:ncRNA from 2 species